UACGUAGGGUGCAAGCGUUGUCCGGAAUUAUUGGGCGUAAAGAGCUCGUAGGCGGCUUGUCGCGUCGAAUGUGAAAACCCGGGGCUCAACCCCGGGCCUGCAUUCGAUACGGGCAGACUAGAGUUCGGUAGGGGAGUCUGGAAUUCCUGGUGUAGCGGUGAAAUGCGCAGAUAUCAGGAGGAACACCGGUGGCGAAGGCGGGACUCUGGGCCGAUACUGACGCUGAGGAGCGAAAGCGUGGGGAGCAAACAGG
rnacentral:rRNA from 1 species